AGCGGGAGACGGGGAUCGAACCCGCGACAACCACCUUGGCAAGGUGGAGCUCUACCACUGAGCCACUCCCGC
rnacentral:tRNA from 1 species